GGAUUAUGGCUCAGUGGUAGAGCGCUUGCCCACCACGUGCAGGGGCCUGGGUUCGAUCCUCAGCACCA
rnacentral:tRNA from 1 species